UACGAAGGGGGCUAGCGUUGCUCGGAAUCACUGGGCGUAAAGCGCACGUAGGCGGAUUGCUAAGUCAGGGGUGAAAUCCUGGAGCUCAACUCCAGAACUGCCUUUGAUACUGGUGAUCUUGAGUCCGGGAGAGGUGAGUGGAACUGCGAGUGUAGAGGUGAAAUUCGUAGAUAUUCGCAAGAACACCAGUGGCGAAGGCGGACUCACUGGCCCGGUACUGACGCUGAGGUGCGAAAGCG
rnacentral:rRNA from 1 species